GCUUACGGCCAUACCAGCCUGGGUACGCCCGAUCUCGUCUGAUCUCGGAAGCUAAGCAGGGUCGGCCUGUUUAGUACUUGGAUGGGAGACCGCCUGGGAAUACCAGGUGCUGUAAGCA
rnacentral:rRNA from 1 species